UCUCAUCACCUCAGGCCAUCAACGCCGCUUCAAAGUCGCCAUAACUCCAUCUCUCUGGACUGCGUCCCUACCUCCUCCACCAACCGACCCACUCUCACCCUCCUCUCACUCACCCCUCCUGUUGGGCUCACUGCCUCUCCCACGCUCACCAAGGUCUCUUCCCCCAGCUCGUCCACAGGCAGUGUGCGGUCCUGCCUCUUCAUGUGAGUGAAGCAUCGCAGCAGACGGAGAGGCGAAGGAACGAGGCAGAGAUGAGAGAAGAGGGGGAGUGUGGCAGAGUGCUGAAAAGGGAGCUGAGAGCAGGAGAUGACUGAAGGUUCACUCAGACUAAACUCUUUCAGACAUUGAAAAUCAUUUGCUGGAAAUAAAUGCAGAGCUGAUUACUGUGAAACCGCCAAGGCCACAGAGGGCUACAGGUGUGAUCUGUAUGGUGGAGGGCUUGUGUCCCAUUAAGAGCCGAUGUUCAUCUUAGCAGGAACAAUCAGGAAAACUUCAUCUACACACUCAGCAGUGUAAACUUCUCACUUUGAAUGCAUGCGUACGUCAAAUAUUAAUUCAUAAAUAAAUUAAGUUCAUCUGCAUUCAGGAGUUUUUGAAGAGAGGCCAAUUUCACACACUUAAAGUGACAUCAUGGAAUCUGUAAGAAGCACAACAGGAUUAUCCACAGCUGCUUUGGUGGCCAUCGCCUGCAACGCUUUCAUAGCGGUCCUCCUCCUGCUGCUCUGCCUGAUCGUCUACAGAGCCUGCAGGGUCCCUUCUAGACUGGAGAGGCUGCCUGCGUCAGCGCCUGGUGAAGCAGAACCCCAGCAGAUAAAUGAGCACAAGUACCUGUUGACCUCCUGACUGCAGAGCGAUGAGUCUAGCGUAGCAACGGGCGUAGCAGUCGGUGUGCGCUUCUACAGGGGCAGAGCUGGCGGCAGGACGGAGACUGACUGUGGCCCUGUGGCUGUGCUUCACAAAGAUCACGUGGAUAAGUUGUUUGAGGGUGAACUGGACUGUUUUUACACAAAUCAAGUUGCGAAAAUAACAAAUGUCUUCUCAGAAAGCAAAUGUGAGUGCUGAACACAGUUAAGGAGUAGAUUUGACCACAUCUCUCAAGAAGAAGCUAAUAUGUUGGGAGUAUUUUAUUUUAUUCAUGCAGCCAAUCAGAUUUAUCUGAUUGCACCAAUUAAGAAAAAAAUUAUUUCACUUAGUGUUUUUAUUGGAGCAUUUUAUUGCAAGUGCUAUUUUUUUUUCUAAACUCCACCUUCUACUGUGAUUCAUGCAGCCACAGUAAUUGAGGUCUCUGGUUGCAGCAGUCGGUGUCUGUGCUGCAGAUGUAUUCUCAUUUCUGUCACCGUGGUUAAAAUCCUGUGCUUUAAACUCUUGGGGAAGUGAUUUAACCCAAAGGAAGUUGGUGUGUGAGAUCACAGAAGGGCACAAAAGGAAGAGAAGCUCCCUGCGGAAAUGUUUGAUUUUAAUUCUGUGUUAAAGCUUCAGGCAGAUGGAGAGGAAUGAAGGAAAAGGACUAAAUAAAAUGACAUCAAAGUUACAUUCUGGUUGUAGAUGGGAUAUUAAAAGGCUUCUGGAUCAUCCCUGGACAGGAUUCUGAAGCAGUGUGUGUGACGGCAAAAAAUAAUUGUUAUGGAUUUAGUCCACAAGUGCAAAAUCCAUUACUUUGAUUUAUAUUAUAAUAAUUCUUGUCCUUUUUAAUUAAAUAUACUUGCACAUCUCAUAGGACUUGAAUAAAUCUUUGUAGAUAAGAAAGUAAUUUUCCAGUCACUGAAAUCUGGAUUUUGUGUAUUAACAAGAAACAAAACCAGGUUUCAGAAAACCUGAAAAUUUUCCAAAAAUCAACCAUUUUUUUUAGCAGAAACCAUAGAAAAACAUUUAAUAGACACCCAUCUAGCUUUUUUGUUGUGUAUUCUUUUAAUUUCAAAGAAAAGUAGCAGGAACGAUAUGUAAGAAUGUCUGGAUGUGAUGUCUGAUUUGUUGUCACUUAAAUUACAAAUUUUUACAAGCUAAUACAUCUCAAAUUAUGUGACAGACACAACUGAAACACACCUAAUUACCAUUUAAACUAAAAAGUACAUGAUAUGUGUGAUUCAGGGCGUAUGGCAAAGCGGGUUAGGAAAUAACUUAAUUCACUUGCAAUCAUUUUUUUUCUCAGUCAGGGGAUCCAUGAGCCAACCGGACGGGAAGGAGACUUAAGCCUAAUUUAUACUUCCUCUGUCUGCAUCUGGACGGGCAAUGCCUUUGUGUGUCGAAGCAAGAGCUCUUGACGGGCUUGUGGAGGAAGACUGAGACAUGCCCCAAAUUUUUACUUCCCAUCAAGAGGCACAGAGAUUGCAAGCUUUUGACUGGUCAGGAUGCUGCUUCCUGUUUCAUUCAUCAACAGCUUGGUGGCAGACACUGUUUGAAGAAUGCAUCGCGGCAAAAGUAUGCAAAUAUGAACGUUUAAUCACCCGUGACUAAAGGAGUACAAAGAUUUGCAGCAAGCAUUUUAUUCUUGGAUGGAAAAGACGAGAAAAAUGGAUUUAGAGGUGCAGAUCAUAGCUGUUGUCCUAGAGGGGAAUUGUUUUGCAACAAUCCUCAGCUGACAGAGAAGUCUGAAAUCAAAACGUCUCUCAGUGCGUGUGUGUCUCUCCCUCGCGGAGCUGAUGGAGAAGUAUAAAUUAGGCUUUAGGCUUCCUAUAGCAGAUGUAUGGCAAACAGCUGCACUCCCUCUAAUGCCGGGGGCAUUCUACCGUAAAACACCCAAGAGUGCAAACAUCAGAUAUGAUAAUGCAUGUUUCUACUGUGUAUGACUCAUCAUUGCUUUGUCAUCUAGAAUCUUCUGGCGUUAAUCCGUAACUGUAAACAGCCAAUAAACUCACUGAACC